rnacentral:lncRNA from 1 species
CAAGGAUGCCUGAGGGGAUUUGAGUCCUACAGGCUCAGCACUUAUGAAAAAGGAUAAAGUCCUUCCCAGCCUGGCAGGAGAAGGAAAAGCCUGUGGUGGGGGAAGGGAGUGAAGGCGUGUGCCUCCUCAUGGAACACAGGGUCGGAGUCGGCUAGGAGGGAUAAGAGUACAAUAGAGGGUUGUGUGACACAGACAGGCUGCCAGCCCUCAGCAUGGACCCGGCACAUGGAAUCUGUGAUCUUAAAAGAGUCAAGUGACUACCUUUGGCAACCAAAAGAGACACUGCCUUUUAGAAGGCAUAUCAUCUGAAACUGGCUGAAAGAGCUGUCUUACUUAGGAAGAAAAAUCUCUCCUUUGGAAAGAGCUGGAACUUUUAGUAAAACUGAACAGUGAGGUGGCGGAAGAUAAAUAUGCUGAGGCAUGUUUUCAAGGAGGGGAGAGAGAUUCCUUUUCCUCAGCCGGGCACAGAGCCAACCUGAAGUGUAGCACUGUGGUGACCUGGCGGGAUCUGCUCUCCAGUCACUCCCGAGGGCCCUUCUGGGGACAAGGAGACUUUUCUGUGCGGCCUGUUGAUUUGAGUAGGAUCGAGGCUAUCAAGCUACAGAUGAUCUUACAAAUGGAACCCCAAAUGAGCUCAACUAACAACUACCAAGGACCCCUGGACCAACCCGCUGGCCCUUUCAAUGGCCUAAAGAGUUCCCCUCUGGAGGACACUACAACUGCAGGGUCCUUUCUUUGCCCCUAUCCAGCAGGAAGUAGCUAGAGUGGUCAUCACCCAAUUCCCAACAGCAGUUGGGGUGUCUUGUUAAGUGGGGAGAUUGAGAGGUGAAGCCAGCUGGGCUUCUGGGUUGGGUGGGGACUUGGAGAACUUUUCUGUCUAGCUAGAGGAUUGUAAACACACCAAUCAGUGCUAUGUGUCUAGCUAGAGGUUUGUAAAUGCACCAAUCAGCACUCUGUAAAAACGGACCAAUCAGCACUCUGUAAAAUGGACCAAUCAGUAGGAUGCGGGCAGGGCCAAAUAAGGGAAUAAAAGCUGGCCACCUGAGUCAGCAGUGGCAACCCACUCGGGUCCCCUUCCAUGCUGUGGAAGCUUUGUUCUUUCACUCUUCACAAUAAAUCUUGCUGCUGCUCACUCUUUGGGUCCACACCACCUUUAUGAGCUGCAACACUCACUGCGAAGGUCUUCAGCUUCACUCCUGAAGUCAGCGAGACCACGAACCCAUGGGGAGGAACAAUCGACUUCAGACAUGCCACCUUUAAGAGCUGUAACACUCACUGCGAAGGUCUGUGGCUUCACUCCUGAAGUCAGCAAGACCACGAACCCACUGGAAGGAAGAAAUUUCGGACACAUCUGAACAUCUGAAUGAACAAACUCUGGACACGCCAUCUUUAAGAACUGUAACACUCACUGUGAGGGUUCAUGGGUUCAUUCUUGAAGUCAGCAAGACCAAGAACCCACCAGAAGGAACCAAUUCCGGACACAGACUCACUGCAACCUCCACCUCCUGGAUUCAAGUGAUUCUCCUGCCUCAGCCUCCGGAGUAGCUGUGCCUACAGGCACAAGCCACCACACACGGCUAAUUUUUUGUAUUUUUAGUAGAGAUGGGGUUUCACCAUGUUGCUCAGGCUGGUCUCCAACUCCUGAGCUCAAGUGAUCCACCUGUCUCGGCCUCCCAAAGUGUUGGGAUACAUGUGUGAGCCACUGUGCCCGGCCUCCUCUGGAUUAGUUCUUACAGGAAUAGAUUAGUUCUUGCUCGAGCAAGUUGUUAUAAAAGUGAGGUUGCCUCUAGUGUUUUGCAUCCUCACAUAUGUCUGCUUACCUCUUGACCUCUCUCUGUGUUAUGACCCAGCACAAAAGCCCUUACCAGAAGCCAAGCAGAUGCUGAUGCCACACCCCUUGGACUUCUCAGUCUACAGAGCCAUGAAACGAAUAAACCUCUCUUUAUAAAUUAUCCAGCUUCAGGUAUUCUGUUAUAGCAACACAAAAUGGACGAAGACAACUACCUUAUCAUAAUAAUACUAUGAUAGUCAAAAUAGAUAAUGUCUGUUAAAAUGCUUAAACAGUUUACACACGUUAUUUUUACCUCAUUAGAGUGAUUUAUUAUUCAUUAAUAUGUAGAGCAGCAUUAAGGUAUAACAACAUAAACAUUGAGAUCAUUAAUCAAGGGUCCUGAGAUUCUACUCUUGUUCUCCAUAAAUUAGCUGAGUAAAUAUGGUAAGUCAUUUAACAUUUGGGCUUCAGGUUUCUUAAUCUAUAAAAAUGACAAAGUAUCAUUUAGAACCUUCUAGCUAGGAAAUAUAUCAUUUUGUGAUCUCCUAAAUCUAGUUUUUUUCUCACAUACUGGCUCUAAUUUUUUGAGAUAGGAUCUUGCUCUGUUGCCCAGACUGGAGUGCAGUGGCAUGAACAUGGCUCACUGCAGCCUUAACCUCCUGGGCUCCAGUGAUCCUCCUGCUUCAGCCACUCGAGUAGCUGGGACUACAGGCUCAUGUCACCACACCCAGCUAUUUAAGAACUUUUUUUUGUAGAGGCAGGGUCUCCCUGUGUUGCCCAGCCUGAUCUCAAACUCCUGGGAUGAAGUGAUCCUCCUGCUUGGGACUCUCAAAGUGCUGGGAUUGCAGGUGUGAGCCACCAUACCCAGACUUUAAGUUUUCUCUAUUAAGAGACUGUUGCAUUUUCCCCCUUUGCUCAUGCCUUGCUGAAUGAGUUGAGUGCACAUACAUGAUUAUUACAAAGUACAACAUGCUUAGGAAAAUCUGUGACAAAUAGAGGAAUCUUUUUUCUUUUGAAACUUUCACUUAUUUUGUUUUGUUUAGUUUUGAGUAGGCAAUGCAUUUACAUUGCCCAAAUUUAAAACACUAUCACAAGUCACACAAUGAGGAGUCCAACUUCCUACCUUACCUGUCUACCCUUUUUCCUGCUCCCAUUUUUUCCUAUCUAUCCUUCCAGUGUUUUUCUAUGCCAAGUUCAAAUGAUAUAAAUAUAAAUUUUCUUAUUUUCUCCCUUUUCCUGUUAGACAUUUCACUUUUUUCACUUAAUAGUAUAUUCUGGAAAUUACCAUACAUCAGUACACAGUGAGCCACCUUCUCUCUAGUUUUUUUUCAGCUUCAUAUUAUUCAAUUGUGGGGCAGAACCAUAGUUUAUUGAAUGAAUCUCCUAAAGAAGGACACUUGUUUCUAACAUUUUGCUAUUGCAGAAAAUGCUGCAAAUAAAUAACACUGUGCAGACUUCAUUUUAUAUUAUGUACAGGUGGAUCUGUAGAAUACAUUCCCAGAAGUGGGAACCCUAGGUUAAAGAGUAAAUUAAUUUGCGCAUUAAAAAAAUGUCAUAUUGGCCUUAACAAAAUUGAGACUAUUUUGCACAACUAGCAAUGUAUCAGAGUGCCUGUUUUCCAACAGCCUCACCAACACAAUGUGUUCAAAUGUUGAAUUUUUAAAUAAUCUGAUAGGAAAAAUGACAUGCAGAGUGAUUUUAAUUUGCGUGAAGAAGCUUUUAAAGAAAGAGUUGAGAAGUUGAAAUUUAAGGUGAGUUUUGAUAGAUUCUUCAAAGUGUCCCCCAAAUAGGAAGCUUCACAGUUAAUGUUUAAAACCUCUUGUAAAUAACAAUUGGCAUUGAAAGAAAGCAAAAUAUUACUUUGUAAUCCGAAGUAUAUUGUCAGCCAAGUUCAAGGAAGCUUGGUAAUUGCUCAAUCUUAAAUUACUCAAUCUUAAACCAGAGAGAUGAAGUGGUGCAUUCGUGACCACUGGCCUUGAACUGUUAACUCUCCCAGCGCUGUUAACAGGAGUUUCUUCAUUGUUGGGCUCUUAUCCAUCCUUCAUAUUAGUAAUUCCAAAUUAAUAACUGCAUAUUAAUAAACUCCAAAGGUGACAUUACACAUAUCUGAUGUCUUGAACAAAUAUCCUAGAGCAAAGUGGCAGAAACAAGAUGAGAAACAGAGCUGGAGGAAAUUUUGUUUUAUAUUGAGUCAAUUAAACUCCCUCUCUCCCUGUUUCUCUUUCUUUCUCUCUCUCUCUCUCUCCACAUGCACACACCAGCAGAAGCAUUUCUUUCAGAUUCAAAGAAGUGGAAAUGUGUGCAUUCCAUUCUAUUUUCCUCUCAACUCUAAAGGUAAAUAAAUCAAUUUUAAGGAGUUGAAUGCUAUAUAAAAUAUGUACUAUACCUGCUGUGUUUACUUGUUAUAAAAACUACUAUACCAAAGGCUAUCUAAUAUCAUUUCUUUUGGUGACACCCCAAACCUCAUUUAAUUUAAAUAUACACUGUACUUUAGUUUAUUCAUCAGUAAAAUGGUAAGGAUGCUGAUCCCCACCUUAUAGGGUUUUUGGUGAAGAUUAAAUAAGUCAAAACAGCCAGGUGCAGUGGCUCACGCCUGUAAUGCCAGCACUUUGGGAGGCCAAGGUGGGCGGAUUGCCUGAGGUCAGGAGUUUGAGACCAGCCUGACCAACAUGGAGAAACCCCGUCUCUACUAAAAAUACAAAAUUAGCCGUGCGUGGUGGCACAUGCCUGUAAUCCCAGCUACUUGGGAGGCUGAGGCAGGAAAAUCGCUUGAAGCCGGGAGGUGGCGGUUGUGGUGAGCCGAGAUUGUGCCAUUGCACUCCAGCCUGGGUAACAAGAGUGAAACUUUGUCUCAAAAAAAAAAAAAAAAGAAAAAUUAAGUCAAAACAUGUAAAGCAUCUAGAAGAAUGCAUGGCAUACAGUAAACACUCAACACAUGGUAGCUAUUAUUAUAUUUAUUCUUUUAUUAGUGAAAAUUUUCCUAUGACUGCAGACUCUUUGGAUAUAGUACUUAUGGCAGGCAUCACACACAUUAUUUCUAAUGUGUAUGUUGAGGAAAGUCUUGAAACCUUAAUUAAUGCACAGUUGUCAGAAAAAGCUUGGAAAGUGGAAAAAUGAACGAAUAUACAAUUUUGUAUAUUUGUGUUACAAUUCUGUCCUUAGAAAGGACUCUCUCAUGGUUAGUGUCAAUGCUGAACUUGUUUGAUAUAUAAACCCAAGUACCGGAGGCAAAAUAAUGGUCCCAUAGAUGUCCAUGCCCUAAUCCUUGAAAUUUGUGAAUAUGCUCCUUAACAUGGCUAACAUCCUAAACAUUUCACAGAUGUGAUUCAGGGUAGAGACCUUGAGAUAGGAGAUUAUCUUGGAUUAUCAGCCAGGGCCCAAAUUAAUCACAAGCCUUUAAAAGCAGAGAAGUUUUCUUGCUGAGGUCAGAGAGAUAUGAUGACAGAAGAAGGGUCAGGGAGAUGUGAGGGGAGGACUUGACUAGCUAGUUGGCUUUGAAGAUAGAGGAAGUAAUCCAAGAACACAUAUAGCCUCUUGAAGCCAGAAAAGAC